rnacentral:pre_miRNA from 1 species
CCAGAACCUGGUGCUGCAAGCUGCCAGAGAGGAGAAAGCAGACGUGCUCAUUCUCUCUGAUGUUCUGCGCCCACCUGAAA